GAUGAACGCUGGCGGCGUGCUUAACACAUGCAAGUCGAACGAAGCAUUUAAGACAGAUUACUUCGGUUUGAAGUCUUUUAUGACUGAGUGGCGGACGGGUGAGUAACGCGUGGGUAACCUGCCUCAUACAGGGGGAUAGCAGCUGGAAACGGCUGGUAAUACCGCAUAAGCGCACGGUAUCGCAUGAUACAGUGUGAAAAACUCCGGUGGUAUGAGAUGGACCCGCGUCUGAUUAGCUAGUUGGCGGGGUAACGGCCCACCAAGGCGACAAUCAGUAGCCGGACUGAGAGGUUGAACGGCCACAUUGGGACUGAGAUAGGCCCAGACUCCUACGGGAGGCAGCAGUGGGGAAUAUUGGGCAAUGGGCGCGAAGCCUGACCCAGCAACGCCGCGUGAAGGAGAAGGCUUUCGGGUUGUAAACGUUCUUUUAAGAGGAG
rnacentral:rRNA from 1 species